rnacentral:tRNA from 1 species
GGGAGAGUGGUCUAGUGGUAGGGCACAGGCGCCUCGAUUCAUUAGAGGUGGGCAAUUCAUUAGCCCAUGCUUCAUUCAUUGAUUAACAAGCAUGUUCUGGAUGUCAGUUCGAAUCUGACCUUUCCCA